rnacentral:rRNA from 1 species
GUCCACGCCCUAAACGAUGCGAACUGGAUGUUGGGCUCAACUUGGAGCUCAGUAUCGAAGCUAACGCGUUAAGUUCGCCGCCUGGGGAGUACGGUCGCAAGACUGAAACUCAAAGGAAUUGACGGGGCCCGCACAAGCGGUGGAGUAUGUGGUUUAAUUCGAUGCAACGCGAAGAACCUUACCUGGCCUUGACAUCCACGGAACUUACCAGAGAUGGUUUGGUGCCUUCGGGAACCGUGAGACAGGUGCUGCAUGGCUGUCGU